UACGUAGGGGGCAAGCGUUGUCCGGAUUUAUUGGGCGUAAAGAGCGUGUAGGCGGCUAGGUAGGUCCGUUGUGAAAACUCGAGGCUCAACCUCGAGACGCCGAUGGAAACCAUCUGGCUAGAGUCCGGAAGAGGAGAGUGGAAUUCCUGGUGUAGCGGUGAAAUGCGCAGAUAUCAGGAAGAACACCCGUGGCUAAGGCGGCUCUCUAGUACGGUACUGACGCUGAGACGCGAAAGCGUGGGGAGCGAA
rnacentral:rRNA from 1 species